rnacentral:rRNA from 1 species
GAUGAACGCUGGCGGCGUGCUUAACACAUGCAAGUCGAACGGAAAGGCUCCUGCUUGCAGGGGUACUCGAGUGGCGAACGGGUGAGUAACACGUGGGUGAUCUGCCCUGCACUUCGGGAUAAGCCUGGGAAACUGGGUCUAAUACCGGAUAGGACGAUGGUUUGGAUGCCAUUGUGGAAAGUUUUUCGGUGUGGGUUGAGCUCGCGGCCUAUCAGCUUGUUGGUGGGGUAAUGGCCUACCAAGGCGUCGACGGGUAGCCGGCCUGAGAGGGUGUACGGCCACAUUGGGACUGAGAUACGGCCCAGACGCCUACGGGAGGCAGCAGUGGGGAAUAUUGCACAAUGGGCGCAAGCCUGAUGCAGCGACGCCGCGUGGGGGAUGACGGCCUUCGGGUUGUAAACUCCUUUCGCUAGGGACGAAGCGCAAGUGACGGUACCUGGAGAAGAAGCACCGGCUAACUACGUG